CCUACGGGGUGCUGCAGUGGGGGAUAUUGCACAAUGGGGGAAACCCUGAUGCAGCGACGCCGCGUGGGUGAAGAAGUAUUUCGGUAUGUAAAGCCCUAUCAGCAGGGAAGAAAGAAGACGGUACCUGACUAAGAAGCCCCGGCUAACUACGUGCCAGCAGCCGCGGUAAUACGUAGGGGGCGAGCGUUAUCCGGAUUCACUGGGUGUAAAGGGAGCGUAGACGGCCGUGCAAGCCAGGAGUGAAAGCCCGGGGCCCAACCCCGGGACUGCUCUUGGAACUGUGCGGCUGGAGUGCGGGAGGGGCAGGCGGAAUUCCUGGUGUAGCGGUGAAAUGCGUAGAUAUCAGGAGGAACACCGGCGGCGAAGGCGGCCUGCUGGACCGCGACUGACGUUGAGGCUCGAAAGCGUGGGGAGCGAACAGGAUUAGAUACCCGAGUAGUC
rnacentral:rRNA from 1 species